UNCAACUAAGGAACUGAAGUUCAAGUGCCAC
rnacentral:piRNA from 1 species